rnacentral:snoRNA from 1 species
UGCACUGUAUGGUAUCUGCAUCCAGCAGACUCUUCCUGAUGGCAUGUUCAAAAAGCAGUGCAAUAUUCAAAUCAACAUGUGGCAUCGUUGGUUCUCAAGCUGCUGUGCUUGCAGAACCUGGUAGUUUUGUUGAAACAAGC